rnacentral:rRNA from 1 species
GGGUUGUGAGGUUAAGCGACUAAGCGUACACGGUGGAUGCCCUGGCAGUCAGAGGCGAUGAAGGACGUGCUAAUCUGCGAAAAGCGUCGGUAAGGUGAUAUGAACCGUUAUAACCGGCGAUGUCCGAAUGGGGAAACCCAGUGCAAUUCGUUGCACUAUCGUUAACUGAAUACAUAGGUUAACGAGGCGAACCGGGGGAACUGAAACAUCUAAGUACCCCGAGGAAAAGAAAUCAACCGAGAUUCCCCCAGUAGCGGCGAGCGAACGGGGAGCAGCCCAGAGUCUGAAUCAGCUUGUGUGUUAGUGGAACGGUCUGGAAAGUCCGACGGUACAGGGUGAUAGUCCCGUACACCAAAAUGCACAGGCUGUGAACUCGAAGAGUAGGGCGGGACACGUGGUAUCCUGUCUGAAUAUGGGGGGACCAUCCUCCAAGGCUAAAUACUCCUGACUGACCGAUAGUGAACCAGUACCGUGAGGGAAAGGCGAAAAGAACCCCGGCGAGGGGAGUGAAAAAGAACCUGAAACCGUGUACGUACAAGCAGUGGGAGCACCUUCGGGUGUGACUGCGUACCUUUUGUAUAAUGGGUCAGCGACUUAUAUUCUGUAGCAAGGUUAACCGUAUAGGGGAGCCGCAGGGAAACCGAGUCUUAACUGGGCGUUAAGUUGCAGGGUAUAGACCCGAAACCCGGUGAUCUAGCCAUGGGCAGGUUGAAGGUUGGGUAACACUAACUGGAGGACCGAACCGACUAAUGUUGAAAAAUUAGCGGAUGACUUGUGGCUGGGGGUGAAAGGCCAAUCAAACCGGGAGAUAGCUGGUUCUCCCCGAAAGCUAUUUAGGUAGCGCCUCGUGAACUCAUCUUCGGGGGUAGAGCACUGUUUCGGCUAGGGGGUCAUCCCGACUUACCAACCCGAUGCAAACUACGAAUACCGAAGAAUGUUAUCACGGGAGACACACGGCGGGUGCUAACGUCCGUCGUGAAGAGGGAAACAACCCAGACCGCCAGCUAAGGUCCCAAAGUCAUGGUUAAGUGGGAAACGAUGUGGGAAGGCACAGACAGCCAGGAUGUUGGCUUAGAAGCAGCCAUCAUUUAAAGAAAGCGUAAUAGCUCACUGGUCGAGUCGGCCUGCGCGGAAGAUGUAACGGGGCUAAACCAUGCACCGAAGCUGCGGCAGCGACACUAUGUGUUGUUGGGUAGGGGAGCGUUCUGUAAGCCUGCGAAGGUGACCUGUGAGGGUUGCUGGAGGUAUCAGAAGUGCGAAUGCUGACAUAAGUAACGAUAAAGCGGGUGAAAAGCCCGCUCGCCGGAAGACCAAGGGUUCCUGUCCAACGUUAAUCGGGGCAGGGUGAGUCGACCCCUAAGGCGAGGCCGAAAGGCGUAGUCGAUGGGAAACAGGUUAAUAUUCCUGUACUUGGUGUUACUGCGAAGGGGGGACGGAGAAGGCUAUGUUAGCCGGGCGACGGUUGUCCCGGUUUAAGCAUGUAGGCUGGUUGUCCAGGCAAAUCCGGAUAAUCAAGGCUGAGGUGUGAUGACGAGGCACUACGGUGCUGAAGUAACAAAUGCCCUGCUUCCAGGAAAAGCCUCUAAGCAUCAGGUAACAUCAAAUCGUACCCCAAACCGACACAGGUGGUCAGGUAGAGAAUACCAAGGCGCUUGAGAGAACUCGGGUGAAGGAACUAGGCAAAAUGGUGCCGUAACUUCGGGAGAAGGCACGCUGGUGUGUAGGUGAAGCCCCCGCGGGUGGAGCUGAGACCAGUCGAAGAUACCAGCUGGCUGCAACUGUUUAUUAAAAACACAGCACUGUGCAAACACGAAAGUGGACGUAUACGGUGUGACGCCUGCCCGGUGCCGGAAGGUUAAUUGAUGGGGUUAUCCGUAAGGAGAAGCUCUUGAUCGAAGCCCCGGUAAACGGCGGCCGUAACUAUAACGGUCCUAAGGUAGCGAAAUUCCUUGUCGGGUAAGUUCCGACCUGCACGAAUGGCGUAAUGAUGGCCAGGCUGUCUCCACCCGAGACUCAGUGAAAUUGAACUCGCUGUGAAGAUGCAGUGUACCCGCGGCAAGACGGAAAGACCCCGUGAACCUUUACUAUAGCUUGACACUGAACAUUGAGCCUUGAUGUGUAGGAUAGGUGGGAGGCUUUGAAGCGUGGACGCCAGUCUGCGUGGAGCCAACCUUGAAAUACCACCCUUUAAUGUUUGAUGUUCUAACGUUGGCCCCUGACCGGGGUUGCGGACAGUGUCUGGUGGGUAGUUUGACUGGGGCGGUCUCCUCCCAAAGCGUAACGGAGGAGCACGAAGGUUAGCUAAUCCUGGUCGGACAUCAGGAGGUUAGUGCAAUGGCAUAAGCUAGCUUGACUGCGAGCGUGACGGCGCGAGCAGGUGCGAAAGCAGGUCAUAGUGAUCCGGUGGUUCUGAAUGGAAGGGCCAUCGCUCAACGGAUAAAAGGUACUCCGGGGAUAACAGGCUGAUACCGCCCAAGAGUUCAUAUCGACGGCGGUGUUUGGCACCUCGAUGUCGGCUCAUCACAUCCUGGGGCUGAAGUAGGUCCCAAGGGUAUGGCUGUUCGCCAUUUAAAGUGGUACGCGAGCUGGGUUUAGAACGUCGUGAGACAGUUCGGUCCCUAUCUGCCGUGGGCGCUGGAGAAUUGAGGGGGGCUGCUCCUAGUACGAGAGGACCGGAGUGGACGCAUCACUGGUGUUCGGGUUGUCAUGCCAAUGGCACUGCCCGGUAGCUAAAUGCGGAAGAGAUAAGUGCUGAAAGCAUCUAAGCACGAAACUUGCCCCGAGAUGAGUUCUCCCUGAGACUAUAAGUCUCCUGAAGGAACGUUAAAGACGAUGACGUUGAUAGGCCGGGUGUGUAAGCGCAGCGAUGCGUUGAGCUAACCGGUACUAAUGAACCGUGAGGCUUAACCUUACAACGCCGAAG